UAAAAUUGGAACGCAACCAUUGAAUCAGCAACUCGUUUCUUAAUUUAGACUUUAGAUAUUUUGAGUAUAUAGAAUGUAUGUAAAAAUGCAGACUCUUAGUCCAAACAACAAGAAUUACCUAUAUACUAAUCCUAGAAUAACCGUAUAGAUAGUCGAGUCAUCAAACGCUAUCACGUUUUCCUCUUCAUGCAAUCUCGUCCUCUGUUAGUUGACAUGUCUCUCCAGACUUGAUAGAAAUAACUACUUGAUCUUAUCCUUUACUUCGCUUCUUUUCGACAACUUCCUUUCUUUGCCAUAUGAAUAACCAAGUACCAACUUGAGAAGUGUCAAAAUUUCACUAAGUCCAUGAGACACUGCAACCUUAGUUAAGUUCCAUAUUAACAUAUAAUUCGUCCUCAUCACAGAUAACUUUUAGCCCCUUUAUCGAACUCAGUCAAAGGUCGAAAUCUUGAAACAACCUUCAACAAUACUUAGUCCAAAUUCAGAUAUCAACAUAAUAUCUCUCAAUGGUUGACAAUAAC
rnacentral:lncRNA from 1 species